rnacentral:rRNA from 1 species
AGUGAACGCUGGCCGUAGGCCUAACACAUGCAAGUCUAACGGCAGCACAGUAAGAGCUUGCUCUUACGGGUGGCGAGUGGCGGACGGGUGAGUAAUACAUCGGAAUCUACUUUUUCGUGGGGGAUAACGUAGGGAAACUUACGCUAAUACCGCAUACGACCUACGGGUGAAAGCACGGGAUCUUCGGACCUUGCGCGAUUGAAUGAGCCGAUGUCGGAUUAGCUAGUUGGCGGGGUAAAGGCCCACCAAGGCGACGAUCCGUAGCUGGUCUGAGAGGAUGAUCAGCCACACUGGAACUGAGACACGGUCCAGACUCCUACGGGAGGCAGCAGUGGGGAAUAUUGGACAAUGGGCGCAAGCCUGAUCCAGCCAUACCGCGUGGGUGAAGAAGGCCUUCGGGUUGUAAAGCCCUUUUGUUGGGAAAGAAAAGCAGCAGGUUAAUACCCCGCUGUUCUGACGGUACCCAAAGAAUAAGCACCGGCUAACUUCGUG